CCUACGGGAGGCAGCAGUGGGGAAUAUUGGACAAUGGGCGAAAGCCUGAUCCAGCAAUGCCGCGUGAGUGAUGAAGGCCUUAGGGUUGUAAAGCUCUUUUACCAGGGAUGAUAAUGACAGUACCUGGAGAAUAAGCUCCGGCUAACUCCGUGCCAGCAGCCGCGGUAAUACGGAGGGAGCUAGCGUUGUUCGGAAUUACUGGGCGUAAAGAGUACGUAGGCGGUUAUUCAAGUCAGAGGUGAAAGCCCGGGGCUCAACCCCGGAACUGCCUUUGAAACUAGAUAGCUAGAAUCUUGGAGAGGUCAGUGGAAUUCCGAGUGUAGAGGUGAAAUUCGUAGAUAUUCGGAAGAACACCAGUGGCGAAGGCGACUGACUGGACAAGUAUUGACGCUGAGGUACGAAAGCGUGGGGAGCAAACAGGAUUAGAUACCCUGGUAGUCCACGCCGUAAACGAUGAUAACUAGUUGUUCGGGCACUUGGUGCCUGAGUGACGCAGCUAACGCAUUAAGUUAUCCGCCUGGGGAUACGGUCGCAAGNUUAAAACUCAAAGGAAUUGACGG
rnacentral:rRNA from 1 species